rnacentral:rRNA from 1 species
CAGGACGAACGCUGGCGGCGUGCCUAACACAUGCAAGUCGAACGGACGAGGGGAGCUUGCUCCCCAAGUUAGUGGCGGACGGGUGAGUAACACGUGAGCAACCUGCCCUUCGGAGGGGGGACAACAGCGGGAAACUGCUGCUAAUACCGCAUAACGUAUUCUGGAGGCAUCUCCGGGAUACCAAAGAUUUUAUCGCCGAAGGAUGGGCUCGCGUCUGAUUAGAUAGUUGGCGGGGCAACGGCCCACCAAGUCUACGAUCAGUAGCCGGACUGAGAGGUUGAACGGCCACAUUGGGACUGAGAUACGGCCCAGACUCCUACGGGAGGCAGCAGUGGGGAAUAUUGGGCAAUGGGGGGCAACCCUGACCCAGCAACGCCGCGUGGAGGAAGAAGGCUUUCGGGUUGUAAACUCCUUUGACGAGGGACGAUAGUGACGGUACCUCGAAAACAAGCCACGGCUAACUACGUGCCAGCCGCCGC